CAAAAUUCUAUUAAAGCAUAAAAUUUUCAGCAAUCGCACGCUCCUCUUAAUCCUAAAGCUCAAAAGGUUAAUAAUGAUAAACCUCUUGGCUUCCAACUUCAAUGCAUGGCAUGAAUUAUGAAUAUGCCCUGCUUUUCAUUACCAAUUAUUUCAAAUCAUCAGUCAACCGACACAUUCAACACUUAACACUGCUUCCAAAAAAAAAGGAGAAUAAGUUGGUUCAAUUGACACCAAAAGUUGCUACUCUGAAAGACAAGCAUAAAUGCAUAGAGAUAAUAAGUGUUUCUCAGAUGAUGCUCUAGCUUAGUUCUAAACACAGUACAAGUCAAAACUCAGCAAGUUCACAAAUGACGAGCAAACAUAAAAAAUUAGACAGCUGAAAUAACUAGGAGCAAACAAGAGCUCCAAUGCUGAAGGUCUACUCGUAGAUCCACGGGUGAAGGCUGCUUGACCAGCUAACAGGGCCUUCAGGGAACCAAAGUGCAAUUUCCUUCCUUGCACUCUCAACUGAAUCACUUCCAUGAAUAACAUUUCUGCACAGGAUAAAUAAUUUAUCAAAUCAGAAACUCUUGCCAGUUAAAAAGAAUACAAGCAGCCAGAGGGAAAAAUGUCCAGAAUCAACUGCCUAGGAAAAAAAUGUUAUUGCUUUAACCAGUUUCUUUUAGUCCUUCAAAUGAUUCAAAAUAAAGAAUUUGAAGUCAAAAGACCUGGCAUUACCUUGAAAUGAAUAUCUAAUGAUUUCCAGCAUUUUUUAAUAGGAAUUUUUGCAUUUGAAAAAGUAACACUGUGCAAAAUACAUUUAGCAAGUUUUACAAUUGAUUAUACAGAAAACAGUCAAUGACUUAUUGGCAUCCGUACAAAGACACAAGGGCUUCAAAAUUCAGAAAUCCCCAAAAGAGUAAAAACUUAAAAGACACCAUCAAGACUUCCAAAUCUACCAGUAUUCAACAAUUAAAAGUAGACCAAUCCUUGAAACCACCACAACUAGAUAACAACACAAGGUUAAUUGAUUUAUCUGCAAAUAUAAUGAUUAUAAUAAUCCAUGAGUCACAACAACAUGCCUUAGACAGAAGAAGAAAAAAAAAAUCCACAUAUCAGUUGGGCAUCUAAUCAAUUAACAGCGGACAAGUAAAACAACUUGCCUUCCAAUGUCAAUUGCAUAGUCACCACGGAUGGUUCCAGGGGCAGAGUCACCAGGGUUGGUGGCUCCAAUAAUCUUGCGGCCAGUGGUUACUACAUUCUUACCCUCCCAAACCAUAGCAACAACAGGGCCGGAGAUAAUAUAUUCAACAAGUCCAUUGAAGAAUGGCUUUGCAGACAGGUCUGCAUAAUGCUUCUCAGCCAAAGCACGCUCCACAGUGAUUAGCUUCAAACCUAAAUUCAGAAGAUGUAAAGCAGUUUUAGCUAUUCCCAGUGCAAUGCUUUAGAUAAAGAUAAAUACCACUUGAUUAUCAUUUUUUUGGUGCCUCGCACAGAGAUAGCUGUAACAACUAAAUCAAAGAAAGUAGUAUCUCAAAGUGAAAAAAAGUUGAUAAAGUUUGCUUAAGAAGUCAUUAAUCAGGUGGCCCUCUAAGGGCAACCAAUUGAAAGAAAGGGCAGGAGGUUUGCAAAGGAACCAUAAAUCAGAAUGGUUAGCAGGUUCUUGGCAAAAUUUCGGGGUAUCUAAGGUCGCUGCUUCUAGCAUAAUCAAUUGAACAUUAAAAAAUAGAUAAACAAAUUAAAAUAAAAUAAUCGGCACAAAAGCAACGUUAGACGAAUAUCACAGAAUUACAAUCAGAACUCUGAAGAAAAAUGAAACUAGGAAAUAUAACAAAAAGUUAGUUACCCUUGAGAGAGAAACCCUUCUUCUCAAAUCUGCCGAUGAUCUCACCAACCUGAAAUGAACGCAUGAAGAUAAAUCUUUCAGUAUAUUGACCUUCAUGGUUCCAACCAGUAUAUUUUUGGCCUUGUAUAAUCCGACUAACCCAUGUUUGAUCUAGAUAUAAGAUAUAUGAAGAUUUCAUUUAUGAAAUUGAAAACCCACUAAACCAAAUUCAGCUUCAGUGAGUAUGUAUAAAGAAAAUAAACAUUAAAAAUGGAAAGGCCACGAACUGAAUCAUAAGGAAAUGAAAACGUAAUCAGAAAUAAAGAGAGGUGUAGAAACUU
rnacentral:misc_RNA from 1 species